rnacentral:tRNA from 1 species
ACAUCGGUAGCACAGUGGUUACUGCCGUCUGCCGGGAACAGAAAGACGCGGGUUCAAUUCCCGUCCGAUGUC